UGUUUUGGCAGGCCGGGCGGGCCAGCUUCGGCUGGGCCGCUUUCCGUGAAGAGCGGUAGUGCUAACCCGUUUCGGCCUGCCCCCAGU
rnacentral:antisense_RNA from 1 species